rnacentral:rRNA from 1 species
GAUGAACGCUGGCGGCGUGCCUAAUACAUGCAAGUCGAGCGAACAGACGAGGAGCUUGCUCCUCUGACGUUAGCGGCGGACGGGUGAGUAACACGUGGAUAACCUACCUAUAAGACUGGGAUAACUUCGGGAAACCGGAGCUAAUACCGGAUAAUAUAUUGAACCGCAUGGUUCAAUAGUGAAAGACGGUUUUGCUGUCACUUAUAGAUGGAUCCGCGCCGCAUUAGCUAGUUGGUAAGGUAACGGCUUACCAAGGCAACGAUGCGUAGCCGACUUGAGAGGGGGAUCGGCCCAGCGGGAACUGAGAAGCGGUCCAGGCUCUUAGGGGGGGCAGGAGGAGGGAAUGUGCCGAAAGGGGCGAAAGCGUGAGGGGGGAACGCCGCGGGGGUGAAGAAGGGUUGGGGAUUGGAAAACUCUUUUAUUGGGGAAAAAAAAAGGUGUAAGUAACUAUGCACGUCUUGACGGUACCUAAUCAGAAAGCCCCGGCGAACUAGGG